rnacentral:rRNA from 1 species
AAAUUGAAGAGUUUGAUCAUGGCUCAGAUUGAACGCUGGCGGCAGGCCUAACACAUGCAAGUCGAACGGUAACAGGGAUCAGCUUGCUGAUUCGCUGACGAGUGGCGGACGGGUGAGUAAUGUCUGGGAAACUGCCUGAUGGAGGGGGAUAACUACUGGAAACGGUAGCUAAUACCGCAUAACGUCGCAAGAC